rnacentral:rRNA from 1 species
AUUGAACGCUGGCGGCAGGCCUAACACAUGCAAGUCGAGCGGAUGAAGGGAGCUUGCUCCUGGAUUCAGCGGCGGACGGGUGAGUAAUGCCUAGGAAUCUGCCUGGUAGUGGGGGAUAACGUCCGGAAACGGGCGCUAAUACCGCAUACGUCCUGAGGGAGAAAGUGGGGGAUCUUCGGACCUCACGCUAUCAGAUGAGCCUAGGUCGGAUUAGCUAGUUGGUGGGGUAAAGGCCUACCAAGGCGACGAUCCGUAACUGGUCUGAGAGGAUGAUCAGUCACACUGGAACUGAGACACGGUCCAGACUCCUACGGGAGGCAGCAGUGGGGAAUAUUAGACAAUGGGCGAAAGCCUGGUCCAGCCAUGCCGCGUGUGUGAAGAAGGUCUUCGGAUUGUAAAGCACUUUAAGUUGGGAGGAAGGGCAGUAAGUUAAUACCUUGCUGUUUUGACGUUACCAACAGAAUAAGCACCGGCUAACUUCGUG